GGUGCGCGCGGCGGCGCGGGGUGUGAGCCGCGUCUCCCGGGGUUGGGGAGUUCCUGGAAUGUUGAGGGGUUGUCCUGAGGAUUGUCUGGUCCUCAACCCCGGUUGUCAUGGGCAGGGAUACACCCCCUAGAUCAAUUUGCUCAGGGCAUUACCCCGCCUGGCUUUGAAUACUGCUGGUAAUGGGGCAUCUACAGCCUCCGUGGGCAGCCUAUUCCAGUGUCUACUCACCCCCGCAGUGAAAAAUUUCUUCCUAAUAUCUAACCUCAAUUUCCCCCCUUUCACCACUGGGUAUACCCAGUGCUUUUUGCCCCAGCACUGCAGUUCCUGAUGAAGAGUCCCUCUCCGCUUCCUUAUCGGCUCCCUUCAGACACUGGAAGGUUACUCUGAGGUCUCCACUCUGUCUUCUCCAGGCUGAGCAGCCCCAAGUUUCUCAGCCUGUCCUCACAGGGCAGGUGCUCCAGUCCUCACCAGCCUCGUGGCCCUCGUCUGGACUUGCUCCAACAGUUCUGUGUCCCUCUUAUGUUGGGGACACCAGAACUAUCAGCAGCACUCCAGGUGGGGUCUCACCAGAGCAGAGAGAAAGAAUCACCUCAUUUGAACUGCUGACCAUGCCAGUCAUGGCCACCCUUUGGAUGCAGCCAAGGAUUUCCUUGGCUUUCUGGGCUGUGAGGGCUCACUGCCAGCUGAAUUUUUUAUCAAUCAUCACCCCAAGUCUUUCCCUGCAGGGCUGCUCUCAGUCACUUCUCUGCCCAGCCUGGGAUUGCCACGACCCAGGUGUAGGACCUGGCACUUUGUUGAACUCCUCGAGGUUUCCCUCAGCCCACCUUCAAGCCUGUGGAGGUCCCUCUGGGUGGCAUUGCUUCACUCCACUGUGUUGACUGCACCACACAGCUUGGAGCUGUCAACAAAUUUGCUGAGGGUGCACUUGAUCCCAUUGUCCAUGUCACCUACCAAAACAUUUAACUGUAUUGACCUCAAUACUGACCCGAAGGACACUGCUUUCAGCUGCAAUUCCUACUUCACUGUCAGGAUACAUGUCUGCUCCUCUGGCUUUGAAAAUUGGUUUACUGAUGUUAUCCAUGAAAACAAAACAUCACCUGAGCAUAAAGGAGUAGUUCUGCUGGUCGCUGCCAUACUCCACAGGAGGAACUCAAAGCUCUGGCCUAAGAUUUUUGUGCUGGUGUGUUGCCUUCCUGGUGGUGUUGGCUCCCUUUCCAGGAAUGUAGCAUUUUUUGUGCUGCCCUGUGGUAGAUACUUUGUGACUUGAAUGAAUCAUUUAAUUUCACUGUUCUUCAGAGGCAUAAGUAGUAACCCACAUUUACUUUUGUCUGUUCAAUGCUUCUAAAAUGUUCAGCUUUUUCCCUGGGAUGUUCUCUGAUGUGAGGAUAAGGCUAUUUUCCGAAGAAAUGUGCAAGUGAAAUGCUCUUGACCAGUAGUUUGUAAAUGUUGUAUUUGCUGUAGAAGGUGUCAUUUUCUUCUUCUAUUUGCAAGUGCUUCAGCACUACUGAAAAUCUAAUUAGCCUCAUAAAAGGAAGAGCACACUGAUAUUUGUAGGAAGAAUGAAGAAUGUAGGACAGAGUUAAGCUGAGAAAGUAAAGGAUAAUAUUUAGUUGCAGCCAUGGUAAUGAUCACAGAGGACACUCCCGUUUCAGAAGCUCUUUGACAAACACAGUCCCUAUGAAUAAAUUGUUUUUUAUUCUGCAAGCCGCUUGUUUCUCCCUGAAACUGCACCAAGCCAGUCCCUUGAGGCAGUGUUAGGGUAUUACAAUUCAGAGAAGCUGGUUUUCAGGCAAAAUUUGAAAUCUAGGGCCUCACAAUACAUUUCAGUAUUUUGAUGGAAACAUUAACAUUAGCCUUAAAUUGUGGCUAUGUUUUUAAUUCCUUGAGUUUUAGCUGGCUACCUUCAGCUGACAGGACCUGAGGGAAUGUCUUGAAGCUGUGUCAGGGGAGGGUUAGGUUGCAUGACAGGAAAAGGUUUUUCACCCAGAGGGUGUCUGGGCACUGAACAAGCUCCCCAUGGAAGUGGCCACAGCACGAAGCCUGGCAGAGCUGAAGAAGCAUUGUGACCAUGCUCUAGGGUACACGGUGGGAAUGCUGGGGUGUCCUCUUUCAGGGCAGGACUUGGACUUGGAUGAUCCUUGUGGCUCCCUUUCAGCUCAGGAUAUUCUGUGAUUCUUUCAACAUUCACCUUGUUUUGCUAGAACAGUCCUUUUGCUGUGUGACAAUGGGAUACUUUUCCUGGUGGUGAACACAGCUAAACCUGGAGCGUGAAGGGGCUGAUUGAGUGGUCUGAGAUGCUGAGACAGCAGAGUAGGUUAAGGGCAGGAUUUCCCCCUGUACUGGUAAGGUAGGUAUCAAGCUGAUUUCUAGUUGUACAUUUUUACACAUGCACUAUGUAUGUGCAUGUAUAUACGUGUAAAUAGAUACAGUUUUUUCAAUAGGACCUUUCCCCACCCCUAAAUCCCAAACCUGGCCUGUGAAAUUAAUAUAGCUGAAAUAUUUUAUUAUUUACUGAGAUCUAAGAAUGCAAAGCCUGGAAUGCAGACUUGGAGGCACUUUUGAAGUGUACUGAUGGAUAUAAAAAUGUUGAAUCAUGUUGUUUUUGUGCACUUAUAUUGGUUAUGCAGAAUUCUACAGUCAUUGCAUGCUGCUGGAGGACACAGGGAUUCCUGUUACACUGCCAGCACAUUGAAAAAUUCCUGGAGGAAUCCGCUGGUUGCUGCUUUCCAGCUGCACCUCCACAUCUGCUCAGAAAAUCAACUGUGCCCCAAGCCAUCGAUUUCCCCCAGCAGUUCAAGGCACAGGAAAACUAAACUUGUACGUUGCAGUAAGUCAUUCAUGAAAGACGAAUUCCUGGAAACUUGGGAAUUUGUGCUCAUCCAAAUGCAGAGAU